AUGAACGCGGACUACGGCGCGCCCACGGAGCUGGCGGGGCCCCUGCAGCAGAGGCGGGCGCUGUACCAGCCCCGCCUCCCGCCCUGCCUCCAGGGAGCGACGGUGAGGGUGGAGUACGGCGACGCCACCGCCACCAUCGACCCCACCGGUGCGCACGCCGUCGCACAGGCCUUCCCGCGCACCUACGGCCAGCGGCUCGUCACUUUUCUCACGCCGGACGGCGCCGCCGGGGCUGGCAAGGCCGUCGACGAGCGCCCGCCCAUCAGGGUGGGUGUGGUCUUCUCCGGGAGGCAGUCACCUGGAGGCCACAAUGUGGUCUGGGGCCUCCAUGAUGCUCUCAAGGCUUACAAUCCCCAGAGUAUUCUCUACGGAUUUAUUGGUGGGACUGAGGGGCUGUUUGCAAACAAGACAUUGGAGAUCACAGAUGAUGUUCUUGCUUCAUACAAGAACCAGGGUGGUUUCGAUUUGCUGGGCAGAAGUAUUGACCAGAUCCGCUCGAGUAAGCAAGUGAGUGCUGCUAUGACGACGUGCCAAGAUCUUAACUUGGAUGGCCUGGUCAUUGUUGGAGGAGUGACUUCCAAUUCAGAUGCUGCACAGCUUGCAGAGACCCUUGUCCAAAAGAACUGUAAGACCAAGGUCGUUGGUGUGCCUGUUUCACUGAAUGGCGAUCUCAAAAACCAGUUUGUCGAGACAACCGUUGGAUUUGAUACAGUGUGCAAGGUGAAUUCUCAGCUUAUAAGCAAUGUUUGCCUGGAUGCAAUCUCGGCUGGAAAGUACUACUAUUUUGUUCGUUUGAUGGGUCGAAAAGCGUCUCAUGUCGCCUUAGAAUGUGCGCUCCAAUCGCACCCGAACAUGCUUAUCAUGGGAGAGGAGGUGGCAUUGUCAAAACUCACACUGAUGGAAGUUAUAAACAAGAUAUGUGACGGAGUACAAGCAAGGGCAGAAUUAGGAAAACACCAUGGUGUGCUCCUUAUACCAGAGGGACUGAUAGAAAGCAUUCCAGAAAUGUAUGCACUCAUUCAGGAAAUCAGUAACCUUCACAACAAUAAUGUGCCUGUUACAGAGAUACCAACACAACUGUCUCCGUGGGCAGCGGCACUGUUCCAGUUCUUACCACCCUUCAUCAGAAGAGAGCUCCUCCUCCAUCAAGAAUCUGACAACUCUGCCCAGUUGUCCCAGAUUGACACCGAACAACUGUUAGCUCACUUGGUAGAAGCAGAAAUGAUAAAAAGAACAAAAGAAGGAAGAUACAAGGGAAAGAAGUUCAGUUCAGUCUGCCAUUUCUUUGGAUAUCAGGCUCGAGGAUCCCUACCGUCAAACUUUGACUGUGACUAUGCUUAUGUUCUUGGCCAUAUCUCCCUGCAUAUGAUAGCAGCUGGUUUGACUGGCUACAUGGCAACUGUGGCUAAUCUCAAGGACCCUGUACACAAGUGGCGAUGUGCUGCUGCCCCACUAACUGCAAUGAUGAGUGUCAGGAGGCAUUUACGUGGCCCGGGGGCAAUCCCUAUAGGAAAGCCUGCCAUUCAUCCUUCUCCUAUCGACCUGAAAGGGAAGGCAUAUGAGUUGCUGCGAGAGAAAGCUUCGAGCUUUCUCCUUGAUGACUUCUACAGGACUCCUGGAGGUAUUCAAUUUGAAGGACCUGGUUCGGAUGCAAAGCCAAUCACACUGACCAUUGAAGACCAGGACUACAUGGGCGACAUCGAAAUGCUAAAACUGUAUCUCGACAAGGUGAAGACGAUCGUGAAGCCCGGUUGCUCAAGGGACACCCUCAAAGCGGCGAUAAGCUCGAUGAUCUCAGUGACACAUGUGCUGACAGUGAUGUCCCACCCUCUCAAUGCUGAGCUGCCUCUCUACCAUUUCAACUGA
rnacentral:rRNA from 1 species